rnacentral:rRNA from 1 species
UACGUAGGGGGCAAGCGUUGUCCGGAAUCAUUGGGCGUAAAGAGCGUGUAGGCGGCUCGAUAAGUCUGCUGUGAAAGUCCAGGGCUCAACCCUGGAAGGCCGGUGGAAACUGUCGGGCUAGAGUCCGGAAGAGGCGAGUGGAAUUCCCGGUGUAGCGGUGAAAUGCGCAGAUAUCAGGAGGAACACCGGUGGCGAAGGCGGUUCUCUGGGCCUUACCUGACACUGAGGAGCGAAAGCGUGGGGAGCGAACAGG